rnacentral:rRNA from 1 species
UACAGAGGUCCCGAGCGUUGUUCGGAUUCAUUGGGCGUAAAGGGUGCGUAGGUGGCGCUGUAAGUCGGGUGUGAAAUUUCGGAGCUUAACUCCGAAACUGCAUUCGAUACUGCGGUGCUUGAGGACUGGAGAGGAGACUGGAAUUCAUGGUGUAGCAGUGAAAUGCGUAGAGAUCAUGAGGAAGACCAGUGGCGAAGGCGGCUCUCUGGGACGGUACUGACGCUGAGACGCGAAAGCGUGGGGAGCGAACAGG